rnacentral:rRNA from 1 species
GACGAACCGUGCGAACGUUGUUCGGAUUCACUGGGCUUAAAGGGCGCGUAGGCGGGCGGUCAAGUCAGGGGUGAAAUCUUUCGGCUCAACCGGAAAAGUGCCUUUUGAUACUGGCCGUCUCGAGGGAGGUAGGGGCAUGCGGAACUUCCGGUGGAGCGGUGAAAUGCGUAGAUAUCGGAAAGAACACCAACGGCGAAAGCACUCUGCUGGGCCGACACUGACACUGAGAGACGAAAGCUAGGGAGCAAAUGGG